UACGUAGGGCGCAAGCGUUGUCCGGAAUUAUUGGGCGUAAAGAGCUCGUAGGUGGCGUGUCGCGUCUUCCGUGAAAGCCCAUGGCUUAACUGUGGGUCUGCGGUGGAUACGGGCAGGCUGGAGGCUGGUAGGGGCAAGCGGAAUUCCUGGUGUAGCGGUGAAAUGCGCAGAUAUCAGGAGGAACACCGGUGGCGAAGGCGGCUUGCUGGGCCAGUUCUGACGCUGAGGAGCGAGAGCGUGGGGAGCGAACAGG
rnacentral:rRNA from 1 species